ensembl:lncRNA
CUCAAAGUUCAGGAGAUAGUCCCCCAAGGAAUAACAGGAGUCACUGACAGGAAGAAAGCAGCAUGCCACUAGAACGAAUGCAACAAUGGCUCCAAAUCACAGGACAGCUCUUUCCAGGGGUGCUGUCCUCAUGCUCAGCACAGGCAGUGGAGGAGUCCAGGGAACUUUGCAACUGCUAUACACAAAGCUACCUUUGGAAGGCAGUGGCUUUAGAUGGCCCUUUCAUAUUCUGGGGACCCUUGUCCCAGAGUGAUUGAUAGUCCACUGGAGAAAGGCCACUUGGACCCAGUCAAGUAAUUUUGCACUAGAACUGGGGCUAGAGGUUCUUGUUAUUAGGACUGCUCAUUGGAUUUCGUGUGUCAAGGAGCCAGCUCUUCAUCUGGAGGGGGCUGUCCAUGUGUCCUGUUCCCUAACUGUGUUCAAGGGUCGAGCCCAGACUGAAGCUCCCCUUUGUUCAUGGGCAGAGCCCUCAGCAUUUGCUGCAUCAGUUUACAGGCUAACAGCACACUUUGCUGUCCUGUAACACAGAGAUAAGGUCUAGGUUUUCCCUUGUGGCUCAGCUGGUAAAGAAUCCACCUGCAAUGUGAGAGACCUGCAUUCAAUCCCAGGGUUGGGAAGAUCCCCUGGAGAAGGGAAAGGCUACCCACUCCAGUAUUCUGGCCUGGAGAAUUCCAUGGACUGCAUAGUCCAUGGGGUUGCAGAGUCGGACAUGACUGAGAGACUUUAACUUUCAGAUCAUUAUACACAGGGUAUUUACUUACAUGAAAGUCCAGUGAGCUAUUCCCAAGUCAGUCAGGAUAAGGGACAAUGGUUCACUGUCCUGAGUUCAUGCAGAGCAGCCAGCAUCCCCUUCAAGGAUAUGUUACAUGUAUAAGUAUGUGUUAUGUGUGACAGAGUUGAGAACAACCGGUCCAGAAGUUUGGCAGAUGUCAGCAACUAAAAGGAAUACUUUUCUGUUCAGAAUGAUCUUACUUGCCUUAAAAACAGACCCACAGGGACUUCCCUGGUGGCACAGUGGAUAAGAAUCUGCCUGCCAGUGCAGGGGACACAGGUUCAGUCCCUGGUCUGGGAGGAUUCCACAUGCCACAGAGCAACUAAGCCCAAGAGCCACAACCACUGAAGCCCGUGCGCCUGCAGCCCACGCGCUACAACGAGGGAAGCCACGGCAGUGAGAAGGCUGUGCACCGCAACGAAGAGAAGCCCCUGCUCGCUGCAACCGGAGAAAGCCCACACACAGCAAGAAGAUCCAGCACAACCAAAAAUAAAUAAAAUUUUUUUUUAAUAAUAAAUUAAAAA